UGUCCGAUCUAACUGAGAAAAAGAGGGGUGCCGUGAAUGGUGGGUGGCGCAUCGAGAGCAGCACAAGUGUCGCUGCUCGUCCUGAUGAGGGAGCCGAGACGAUCGCUCUGGUGAAAGAGACUGUCGUGGAUGCCAGCGGCUGUGCUUGGAUGGCACUGAAUGCACCACCGAUUGCUCUACCGAUGGCUGUGGUGGUCUGCUACUGCUGGAGGCU
rnacentral:lncRNA from 1 species